rnacentral:rRNA from 1 species
ACUCCUACGGGAGGCAGCAGUGGGGAAUAUUGCACAAUGGGCGCAAGCCUGAUGCAGCCAUGCCGCGUGUAUGAAGAAGGCCUUCGGGUUGUAAAGUACUUUCAGCAGUGAGGAAGGCAGGUACGUUAAUAGCGUGCUUGUUUGACGUUAGCUGCAGAAGAAGCACCGGCUAACUCCGUGCCAGCAGCCGCGGUAAUACGGAGGGUGCGAGCGUUAAUCGGAAUUACUGGGCGUAAAGCGCAUGCAGGUGGUUUGUUAAGUCAGAUGUGAAAGCCCGGGGCUUAACCUCGGAAUUGCAUUUGAAACUGGCAGGCUAGAGUCUUGUAGAGGGGGUAGGAAUUUCAGGUGUAGCGGUGAAAUGCGUAGAGAUCUGAAGGAAUACCAGUGGCGAAGGCGGCCCCCUGGAC